rnacentral:lncRNA from 1 species
GUCCUCUUAACCAAGGAGUGUGGAGACACUGGUAUGGCAUACAGGUGAGAUGUAAGGGUACAUCUGCAUUGAACGUGACCGACUCCAAAGCUAUCUCUGCUGUCAAGAUUUGCUCUGAUGGGAUAUGGAUAUAAAUAUCCCUCCGACCUGAGACCGCCACGGUGACUUGCAAGCAACUCACUGCACUUUGGCACUGGACUACCUGAAUUUCUAAUUCAGUGACGGAAGGUUGCUGGGUGUAGUCAAGUACUUGACUUGUCGGUGCGUGUGUCAAGAUGGGAUUGACCACUCCAGAUCAGGAGCUGUGUACAGUCGUAUUUUAAUUUAGCAAAACCUUGGCCA